rnacentral:rRNA from 1 species
UGGCGGAAUGCUUUACACAUGCAAGUCGAACGGCUGCACGGACUUCGGUCUGGUGGCGAGUGGCGAACGGGUGAGUAAUAUAUCGGAACGUAUCCAAUAAUGGGGGAUAACUAAUCGAAAGGUUGGCUAAUACCGCAUACGCCCUACGGGGGAAAGCUAGGGAUCUUCGGACCUGGCGUUAAUGGAGCGGCCGAUAUCUGAUUAGCUAGUUGGUGGGGUAAAGGCCCACCAAGGCGACGAUCAGUAGCUGGUCUGAGAGGACGACCAGCCACACUGGAACUGAGACACGGUCCAGACUCCUACGGGAGGCAGCAGUGGGGAAUUUUGGACAAUGGGCGCAAGCCUGAUCCAGCCAUUCCGCGUGAGUGAAGAAGGCCUUCGGGUUGUAAAGCUCUUUCGCAAGGGAAGAAAACUUAUCCUCUAACAUAGGAUGAGGUUGACGGUACCUUGAUAAGAAGCACCGGCUAACUACGUGCCAGCAGCCGCGGUAAUACGUAGGGUGCGAGCGUUAAUCGGAAUUACUGGGCGUAAAGCGUGCGCAGGCUGUUUUGUAAGUCAGAUGUGAAAUCCCUGAGCUCAACUUAGGAACUGCGUUUGAAACUACAAGACUAGAAUAUGUCAGAGGGGGGUAGAAUUCCACGUGUAGCAGUGAAAUGCGUAGAGAUGUGGAGGAAUACCAAUGGCGAAGGCAGCCCCCUGGGAUAAUAUUGACGCUCAUGCACGAAAGCGUGGGGAGCAAACAGGAUUAGAUACCCUGGUAGUCCACGCCCUAAACGAUGUCUACUAGUUGUUGGUGGAGUAAAAUCCAUGAGUAACGCAGCUAACGCGUGAAGUAGACCGCCUGGGGAGUACGGUCGCAAGAUUA